CUUGUACUCCCUCCAUCCGAAAAUACUUGUCAUUGAAAUGGAUGUAUCUAGAUGUAUUUUAGUUCUAGACACAUCCAUUUUGAUGACAUGUAAUUCCGGACGGAGGGAGUACUUG
rnacentral:pre_miRNA from 1 species